CUUGCUCCUGGGUGACGAGCGGCGGACGGGUGAGUAAUGUCUGGGAAACUGCCUGAUGGAGGGGGAUAACUACUGGAAACGGUAGCUAAUACCGCAUAACGUCGCAAGACCAAAGAGGGGGACCUUCGGGCCUCUUGCCAUCAGAUGUGCCCAGAUGGGAUUAGCUAGUAGGUGGGGUAAUGGCUCACCUAGGCGACGAUCCCUAGCUGGUCUGAGAGGAUGACCAGCCACACUGGAACUGAGACACGGUCCAGACUCCUACGGGAGGCAGCAGUGGGGAAUAUUGCACAAUGGGCGCAAGCCUGAUGCAGCCAUGCCGCGUGUAUGAAGAAGGCCUUCGGGUUGUAAAGUACUUUCAGCGAGGAGGAAGGCAUUGUGGUUAAUAACCACAGUGAUUGACGUUACUCGCAGAAGAAGCACCGGCUAACUCCGUGCCAGCAGCCGCGGUAAUACGGAGGGUGCAAGCGUUAAUCGGAAUUACUGGGCGUAAAGCGCACGCAGGCGGUCUGUCAAGUCGGAUGUGAAAUCUCCGG
rnacentral:rRNA from 1 species